ACGGCCACGUGGCAUCAGAGCAGACAGUCUCUGGGGCCCUGGCCAGUCACACUCAAGUCAAACGAAGGCUGGGGCGGCCACAGAGCAGUUGUGAUGAUAGAAGGAGGAUACGGCGGGUGAGAGCUUUCACUUUGGGACUAGGGUUACUCAGAUUAAGAGGAAACUCCAAGAUCAUCAUCAGGAGAAAAAGAGCCCCUGAGAAAAUGAUUGCAGAGCUCAUGGAUGAACCGGGUGCACGAACAGCAGAGCAAAAAAAGAGAAAGGAGUGACCAGAAUCUGAUGGAGAUGUUGUUUCAGAGAUUUUGAUGUGAAGUUAAAAACAAUGAAGGUUACAAUGUUACCAUGAAGCAACAAGUGUCCAUUCAGGAAAUGUCUCAUUCUUGCAAAAAAACCAUGUUUGUUGAAUGCAACCUUCGAAAAGAAUGUAUGUUAUCCAGAAUGUGUCUCUUUUCCUCUGUCUGUGUCUCCCUGUUGAAGCUAUCUAGAUGAGCAAGGUGCAUCUCUGCUGGAAGGUACAGAUCUGAGAGUCAACAGUCUUGCACAAUUCACAGCGUGUAAGCCGGUGGUUCUUAACACUGAUGCACAUCAGAGUCGUCUGGAAAACUUAAAAAAAAAAAAAAAAAAAGUACGGUUGUCCAGGCCAAGCCCCAAACCAAAAAAAUCAGAAUCUCCGGGCUGCGCAUCAAAGUCCCAUGGUCGUUUUGAGAACCACUGCUGAAAACACUGUGAAAGGGCUGGCGAAUCUGGACGUUUCCUCAGCAGGUGGAGUGAGGCAGGUGGAGGGGAACCAGCGCCUGUCGAGUAAGCACCAGCCGCAGACAAGCUCCGCGCAAUCGGCGUCUGCCACAAGAGUUUGAAGUCGAGCUAUCACCAUUCUGGUUGCAUGGGUGGCCCUCAGACGAGGGGCCUUGGUGGAACUCGUCUCAGCACUGUUGCCAGGUGCAGUGGCCGCGGGGCGCCCCCACCUCCCUGGAGACAUCUCGGGGUUCCCCGGCGAGCCCCGCUGCGGAGCGCGCCCCCACACCCUGCGCCUGGGCGCACAUUAAUGCCUCUUCGUUUCCCCGGGUCUGCGUUAGUGCUCAGCUCCAGCCGCCCCUUCCCAGGGGCUGUCAUGGUUGCUCUCUUCUCUUGGUUGCCUCUCCUGGAUCGUUCUGCGCGGCCCCGUGAAUUGCUUGAGGGUCAGGACUACACUGCACCUCCGGAUCUUCAGAACAGGGCCUGCCUGUGCUGGCCCAGGACGCGGGCUCCGAGCUCAUAAGGACUGAGCAUUCUGAGAGGACACACAUAUAUACACGUAUUUACAUACAUUUGUGUAUAUAUGAAACCCAUACACCAAAAUUCAGAUCUCUAAAAGGAUUUGCUCCAAACUCUCACUACAGCAACAUGUAAAGGGAAAAAUAAAAAUUGAUCCUACAAGGGAGACGGUGAUGUCAGAAGAAACCGAGAGCAAAAAACCCGGUAAAUGUGGGUGAAUAUAAACAAGCGCUGACUUUACAACAUUUAAAAUAAUAAUAAUUGGUAACUUUAUGGAUAAACAUAAUGGAAUUCAAAUACUAGGCAACAGGAACAUUUAAGAUAGGCACAUGAAUACCAUCCGAAUAAAUCACCUGAAAAAAGAAAUUAAGUUAAAAAUCAAUAAUAGAAAGCAGACUCUGAAAAACAUAUCAUUGUCGAUUGAAAAACACAUUUCUUAAUAAUUCAUGGGUCAAAGAAGAAAUAACAGGAAGACAUAAAAUAUCACAAGCAUGAUGAUGACAAUACUACAUAUGGGACUUCUGGGAUGCAGCUGAGAGGCUGAUUGUAGGAGGUGUGUAAUUAUGAAUGUUUUCCUUAUAAAAGGACCAAUAAUUGAUGAGCGGAGACUGUAAUUUAAGAGGCUGGAAUGAGAACAGGAGGCUAAACCCAAAUGCAAUUUUUAAAUGAUAAGGAAAUAAAUAGCAAACACGGGUACCAUAAUUGAAGAUCCGUAUCACCUCCACCCCAUCAAUUGCAUGCCAAAUACAUAAGAAGCAGAAUUCCCCAGAAGUUCUCUGUGCUUUUAUCCAGGCUGUUCUUCCUGCCUAAAGUCAGUUUAGAUCUAGAUCAUUUAUAUGUAUAUCUGCAUCUGCAUCUAUAUCAACUACAUCUGUAAGGGUACCUAUACCUAAUGUUUAAAAUAAAUAUUAUUUUAGAGAUCAAA